ACGCUCGACACCCACGGGAGCCAGCAGUGGGGAAUAUUGCACAAUGGGGGAAACCCUGAUGCAGCGACGCCGCGUGGAGGAAGAAGGUCUUCGGAUUGUAAACUCCUGUUGUUGGGGAAAAAGNGGAUGGUACCCAACAAGGAAGUGACGGCUAACUACGUGCCAGUAGCCGCGGUAAUCUGAGCGGGCUGGCAAGGC
rnacentral:rRNA from 1 species